GCACCGUGACUUUGCAGCACAGUGACCGCGUGCGUCUACGCCGACCUGCGUCAUCGGAACGCCGGUCCUGGGGCCUUGUUCUGCUGUCACUGCCCGGCUGUCUUGGAGUCAGUCCAGCACAGCUGUUUGACACGCCAGGUGACGAAGGUCAGCUAUAGAGCCCAAGAUUCCGACCUGUAUUAUUGCUGCGGAAGAAUAUAAGGUCUUCCUGUUCACCUCUGUUGUUUAAGAGAGACGCGUGGUAGAGACUGGCUCUGUGGACAUGGGUGGACAGCCUGUGUGAGCGAGACAAGACG